ACCACGUGUGCCGCCAACAUUAGCAUUCUGAUUUGUUCUGAUUCGCAUUCGCGCUCAUUCGCGCAUUUACACGCGAUACGCGUGCUAGAGGAUAAAGACUAUAUAAUAAAGAGUUUAUUAGAUAAAGUUGUUGGUUUUCACACGUCAUUAUUGUUUUUGAUAGAUAUUAGAUCACCAGAUGACUAUGAAUAAGUACCAAGGAGAUAUCGAGGCGGAAUUCGUGUUAACAAUUUAAAAGAAUUCUCACACUUAGAGGUUGAUGAUGACACCCUAUCAACAGAGGAAACUUUGAAAAUUACUGAUGAGUUCCACGUUCCAUCUACAGUUUAAAGAAUUAGUGGAUCCACGGAUUCCACGGAGACGACAACAGGAAACCAAGCAUCAUCGACGAUUCGAAUCAUCACCAGGUAUCGGGAAGUCAACAAGGAACCAACGCCGCAUCAUAGACUUAGCACCCAUGCGGAUCUUAAGUCUGUACCAAUCAGGGAUCGCAACCAAAUAUACAUAUGCAUGCAUAUAUAUGCGCGCGCGCGCGUAUAUACAUACAUUGAAUGAAUUGUAACAUGACAUAUCAUAAUAUUAAAUAAAAUUAGAGAUUGACCAAGCUUUCAUUAGUAAGAUGUAAUUAUAGAGAUUUAACUUAAUUCAUGUCUUGAAUUUUGUUCAUCCAGAUUAUACAUAAUUAAUAAAUUGGAUAAAUGUUCCUUAAAAAAGAA